rnacentral:lncRNA from 13 species
AUGUUAAUGCUAACGUUCCCAGGUUUUCCAAAACUCCUGGUUGGAAGAUUCUGGAUUUCCUCUUUAUUCCCUCCCGAUUCUGGGACUCUUCCAACCGGGAUUUCUGAAAAACCGAGGGAUUUCUGGAAAACCAAGGGAUUUCUGGAAAACCAAGGGAUUUCUGAAAAACCGAGGGAUUUCUGGAAAACCAAGGGAUUUCUGAAAAACCGAGGGAUUUCUGAAAAACCAAGGGAUUUCUGGAAAACCAAGGGAUUUCUGGAAAACCAAGGGAUUUCUGGAAAACCAAGGGAUUUCUGGAAAACCAAGGGAUUUCUGGAAAACCAAGGGAUUUCUGGAAAACCAAGGGAUUUCUGAAAAACCGAGGGAUUUCUGGAAAACAAGGGAUUUCUGGAAAAACAAGGGAUUUCUGGAAAAACAAGGGAUUUCUGGAAAACCAAGGGAUUUCUGGAAAACCAAGGGAUUUCUGGAAAACCCAGGGAUUUCUGGAAAACCAAGGGAUUUCUGGGUAAAGCAUUUCCCCCCUCAUUUUUUUUUGCAACCGUAAGUGAGAGUACAGCUAUCAAAGAACUAACAUGACCUGACAAUUCACUGGAGCUUUUGUAAAGCUAAUGACUUCCUUUGUGUCUGUAACCAUGCAUUCAAAUAAAAUACAAAAAACUGAAAGCACUCCGUCAGGGCUAAGAGAGCGUGCUCUGUUCUGUCUGGCAUACAAAAUGAACAUUGCAAAAAAAACAUACACGUAUUGAACAGCAAGCUAUUCAACACAUUAGAAAGAGUGCAGAGGAACCGCAGCAAAAAGUAGCAGGGAGAUUUGCCAAAGAGGCAGCAGGUACAGACGACGAUGCAACGCCAUCAUACACAAGGCGCCCCAAAUGGCACCCUAUUCCCUAUGUAGGGUCCCUUGGUGAAAAGUAGUGCACUAUGUAGGGAAUAGGGUCCCACUUGCAUAGCUUACAGCAGAGCAGGAACACUGUGUUGGUGUACUGGUUAGAAUAGUCCUGUGCCUUACGCGACACCACGCUAACACGUCAUAUGAACACCCCCCCUUCAAGUACAGUGAAAAAGUAUUUCACAGUACUUGUGCACGUGACAAUAAAACUUGAAACAAAGCAUUAUAGAGGUCUAUGAGCAGCUAUAAAACACCUGGAAGGCAUUAUAAUGCAUUAUGCAUAGCUCAUAAAUGUACUUUUCAAUGCAUUAUGAAGAGGGUAUUAUAUUAGGAAGUGUUACCGACAACACUGCUGGCAUUAAAGAAUAUCAUAAACUAACAAAAUGUCCUAAGAUGGCAGUAUACAGUAAUGUAUAUACCAUUCACUAACAUUCAGAAGGUCUAGUUAAGUGCACUUUCACAACAAUCAAUGAUAACCUGCUUCUUCUUAAAAGUUUUUACACAUCAAAUAAACCCAGCGAGCUCCAGUAAGAAUUAUAACUGAUUUCAACAGCUUGAAUAACCUAGAAUGUAAGGAGAGGUUCUACGUAUAUUAAAUGGAUCUGAGGGGGGCUAGAUCGAAUGUCUGCUAAAUUGAGUCUAUUUGCUGUUCAGGCACACAGUCUCUGGAGCACUUCCUUGUCGUAAUGCCACAUUCAUUUCAACUGUUGCAUCAUUGUAUAAUUCCUUCCUUCCUCCAUUACAAAACAUAAAACCAUUGAACUGAAGCCAGGAAGUUUUUGUUCUGUUU